CAUAAUCAACGAGUGUCAACCUGCCGCGAAGGUCUAUGAGUGGUCUGUUCCUCCUCUUUGUGGAGC
rnacentral:pre_miRNA from 1 species